rnacentral:tRNA from 1 species
UGAGGUAGCUCAACUGGCAGAGCAACGGUUUUGUAAACCGUAGGUUGUGGGUUCGAUUCCCAUCCUCA